UACGAAGGGGGGCUAGCGUUGUUCGGAAUCACUGGGCGUAAAGCGCACGUAGGCGGACUUUUAAGUCAGGGGGUGAAAAUCCCCGGGGGCUCAACCCCCGGAACUGCCUUUGAUACUGGAAGUCUUGAGUCCGAGAGAGGUGAGUGGAACUCCGAGUGUAGAGGUGAAAUUCGUAGAUAUUCGGAAGAACACCAGUGGCGAAGGCGGCUCACUGGCUCGGUACUGACGCUGAGGUGCGAAAGCGUGGGGAGCAAACAGGAUUGAGAUACCCCGUAGUC
rnacentral:rRNA from 1 species